rnacentral:rRNA from 1 species
AUGAGUAAGCUAUCGACCGACGCCCUCAAGGAGGCCAUCACCCAGGUGGUGGCGGACGCCAAGGAGAAGAACAGGAAGUUCACCGAGACGGUCGAGCUCCAGAUCGGCCUCAAGAACUACGACCCGCAAAAGGACAAGCGUUUCAGCGGUUCCGUCAAGCUGCCCCAUGUCCCUCGCCCCAAGAUGAGGGUCUGCAUGCUCGGUGAUGCCCAGCAUGUGGGAGAGGCUGAAAAGAUUGGUCUUGAUUCCAUGGAUGUUGAAGCUCUUAAGAAGAUGAACAAGAACAAGAAGCUUGUCAAGAGGCUUGCCAAGAAGUACCAUGCUUUCUUGGCCUCGGAGGCUAUCAUCAAGCAGAUUCCACGUCUCCUUGGUCCUGGUCUCAACAAGGCAGGAAAGUUCCCGACCCUGGUUUCUCACCAGGAGUCUCUGGAAGCCAAGGUGAAUGAGACGAAAGCCACAAUCAAGUUCCAGCUCAAGAAGGUGCUGUGCAUGGGCGUCGCGGUGGGCAACCUGUCGAUGGAGGAGAAGCAGAUCCAGCAGAACAUCCAGAUGAGCGUCAACUUCCUGGUUUCCCUGCUCAAGAAGAAUUGGCAGAACGUGAGGUGCCUGUACAUCAAGAGCACCAUGGGGAAGCCGGUCCGGGUGUUCUAA